rnacentral:rRNA from 1 species
AUUGAACGCUGGCGGCAUGCCUUACACAUGCAAGUCGAACGGCAGCACGGACUUCGGUCUGGUGGCGAGUGGCGAACGGGUGAGUAAUAUAUCGGAACAUACCUUGUAGUGGGGGAUAACUAUCCGAAAGGAUAGCUAAUACCGCAUACGCUCUAAGGAGGAAAGCGGGGGAUCGUAGGACCUCGUGCUAUAAGAGUGGCCGAUAUCUGAUUAGCUAGUUGGUGAGGUAAAGGCUCACCAAGGCGACGAUCAGUAGCUGGUCUGAGAGGACGACCAGCCACACUGGAUCUGAGGCACGGUCCAGACUCCUACGGGAGGCAGCAGUGGGGAAUUUUGGACAAUGGGGGCGACCCUGAUCCAGCAAUGCCGCGUGAGUGAAGAAGGCCUUCGGGUUGUAAAGCUCUUUUGUCAGGGAAGAAACGGUUGUGGCUAAUGUCCAUGGCUAAUGACGGUACCUGAAGAAUAAGCACCGGCUAACUACGUGCCAGCCGCCGCAGUAACAC